CUCUAUCUUCUCUUUAAUUGGGAUAGGAUUAGGUUUGUUUUAAUCUAAACUCUUAUCAGAUAAGAAUCCAAGCUUAUCUCAAACCCUAUUCUAACCACUUGGCUGCCAAUUAUAAAAGGACAUGGGGUCAUAGGGAAAGAGAGAGAGAUCAUUCUUAAUUCUAAGUGCUGUCGCCCCAUCUCUUUGCUUCCACCCUAAUCCACAUGCCCCACCUCCUCCUGAUUGGCCACCCU
rnacentral:lncRNA from 1 species